rnacentral:rRNA from 1 species
AGAUCCAUUUUCUGCCNCCGAAUACAUUAGCAUGGGAUAAUGGAAUAGGACCCUGUCCUCCUAUUUUCAGUUGGUUUUGGCAGCGCGAGGACUAGGGUAAUGAUUAAUAGGGAUAGUUGGGGGCAUUAAUAUUUAAUUGUCAGAGGUGAAAUUCUUGGAUUUAUGAAAGAUUAACUUCUGCGAAAGCAUCUGCCAAGGAUGUUUUCAUUAAUCAAGAACGAAAGUUAGGGGAUCGAAGACGAUCAGAUACCGUCGUAGUCUUAACCAUAAACGAUGCCGACCAGCGAUUAGGAGACGUUGAAUACAAAACACCACCAUCGGCGCGGUCGUCCUUGGCGUCGGUCCUUCACGGGGCCGGCGCGAGGGCGGCUUAGCCCGGUGGCACCGGUGAAUGACUCCCUA